UCUUACUGAUAAGCAAAGAAAGUAGUUUCUUGAGGUGGAAACUACUCGUGGUGAAGAUGAUGUGAA
rnacentral:pre_miRNA from 1 species